GCAGAAUUUUAACUGUACAAAGGUAGCAUAAUCAUUUGUCUUUUAAUUGAAGGCUUGUAUGAAUGGUUGGACGAGGAACUUACUUUCUUAAUUUGAAUUUGAUUAAUUUAAUUUUUUGGUUAAAAAGCUUAAAUUUUAUUAUUAGACGAGAAGACCCUAUAGAAUUUAAUUAUUAUUAGCUUAUUUAAUUUAUUUGCGAGUUGUUUAAAUAUUCUAUUUAAUAAUUUUGUUGGGGUGACAGUGAUAAUUAAUUAACUUUCAUUUUUUUGACUCAUUAAUUUAUGUUUAUUUUGAUCCUUAGUUUUGGAUUAUAAGAUUAAAUUACCUUAGGGAUAACAGCGUAAUUUUUUCGUAGAGUUCUUAUCGAUGAAGAAGAUUGCGACCUCGAUGUUGGAUUAAAGUAAGUCCUUGGUGUAGCAAUUAAGUGGCUAAGUCUGUUCGACUUUUAAAUCUUUACAUGAUCUGAGUUAAGGCCGGCGUAAGCCAGGUUGGUUUCUAUCUAUAAUUUUUUAUUUUAUUUUAGUACGAAAGGACCGGAUAAGAAUAAUAAUUAUUUUAUUUUUGAAUCCUAUUAACUAUUUUG
rnacentral:rRNA from 1 species